GUAUGACAGGAAAAUAUUCUCACAGCAAAAGGGCUGAACUAAGUAUUAUUACUUUAUCAACUACAGUUGGUUAAUAACAUAGUUAAAACCUCCUUUCUGGUUAAUGACUUAGAUUGGUUAAUAAUUAAAUCACACAGUAGUUUAAUAUCACGUGCUGCAAAGAGUGGUGGGAGACACAUUAAAGAGCCACUUGCAGCUUGGGAGCUGC